rnacentral:rRNA from 1 species
GGGUUGUGAGGUUAAGCGACUAAGCGUACACGGUGGAUGCCCUGGCAGUCAGAGGCGAUGAAGGACGUGCUAAUCUGCGAUAAGCGCCGGUAAGGUGAUAUGAACCGUUAUAACCGGCGAUUUCCGAAUGGGGAAACCCAGUGUGACUCGUCACACUAUCAUUAACUGAAUCCAUAGGUUAAUGAGGCGAAC